AUUGAACGCUGGCGGCGUGCCUAACACAUGCAAGUCGAGCGGUAACAGGUGUAGCAAUACAUGCUGACGAGCGGCGGACGGGUGAGUAACGCUUGGGAAUCUGCCUAUCAGUGGGGGACAACCCGGGGAAACUCGGGCUGAUACCGCAUACGAUCUACGGAUGAAAGCCGGGGACCGCAAGGCCUGGCGCUGAUAGAUGA
rnacentral:rRNA from 1 species